UAGCGAUUGGGCGGGUUUGUUGUGAACACCUGGCAACCCUGGACGACACCGCUGAUAUAAAGGACGCGAGCGGCCGUGACUCUCUCUUUCUCUGCGGCAGCGCUUGGGGAACACGUGAGAUGGGAGGAAUAAUAGAGCCAGUGCAAUGUCUUCGGUGCCAGCAUGUUCCCAUCGGCUGGUUCUAUCCUCAAUCACUGGAACACGUGUUCGUGCGGUCACGUGCUGUUCGUCGUUGCAUCUGAAAAGUGCUCCAGUGUAAGGGGCGUCUACAGACUGAAGUCCAACAGUGGCUUUAAUGUUUGAUCAAUUGUAUUUUUUUUUUGUAUGUAAAAAAUGUUGAAACCACAUGUUUAUAGUGUAUUAGUUUAUAAGUCUCUAUUAGCACACAACCCUAUUUUUUGCCAUGUUUAAAUUGGCUGUAAACUGGACCAAGAAACAGUAUUAUUUCUAAUAAACAAUGCGU